rnacentral:rRNA from 1 species
UACAGAGGCCUCAAGCGUUGUUCGGAAUCACUGGGCGUAAAGGGUGCGUAGGUGGCGAGGUAAGUCGGAUGUGAAAUCUCCGAGCUCAACUCGGAAAUGGCAUUGGAAACUACCUUGCUCGAGGGUUGGAGGGGGGACUGGAAUACUUGGUGUAGCAGUGAAAUGCGUAGAUAUCAAGUGGAACACCAGUGGCGAAGGCGAGUCCCUGGACAACUCCUGACACUGAGGCACGAAAGCUAGGGGAGCAAACAGG